CGGUACACCGCAGGUUAAUUUCU
rnacentral:snRNA from 1 species